AAAAAAUUUCAAAAAGUUUAAAGUUUAAUUAAAAAUUGCAAAAAAAAUAUUCCAAAAAAAAAUUUGUGCUUGUGUGUGUUUAAAAAUUUCCCUGGUGUUAUUAUUAAAAUAAAACAAAAAAUAUCCCUGAUUUUAAAAUCCUCACGCCAUCUGCAGGUUUUCUUUUUUCUAACCAGGAAAUGUUUAUGAAAAUGUAUAAAAAUCAUUUAGUGCAGUUACAAACCUUUAGGUUAGUGGCUUGUCUAAAUGAUCACUUUCAAGUUGAGUGGUUUCGUCGUAGAGGGCGCUCUAAAUCAAAAAUAUGCACUAAAAAUUAUAAAACUUCAUGGAAAACUUUAUAUCAGCGAAAAGUCAAUUGAAAUCUAAAUAAAUUUUGUAAUUUUUAUUGGAUUUAAAACACAUACAUACGUAAUCUAGUGAUAAUAUUUCAUAGGGUUGAAAUAUUAAAAACUGUAAUGGAAUUUAAGGUAAGUUUAUUAUAAAGAAAAUUAAAAUUUCAUAAAAUUAAAAAA